rnacentral:rRNA from 1 species
UCCGUAGGUGAACCUGCGGAGGGAUCAUUAUCGAGUUUAUCCAACUCCCAACCCUAUGUGAACCUACCUUUAUGUUGCUUCGGCGGUCUCGCGCCGGGUUGCUCCCCUGGGGGCUCCCGGGACCACGCGUCCGCCGGAGACCACAAACUCUUGAUUUUGCGAAAGCAGUAUUAUUCUGAGUGGCCGAAAGGCAAAAAACAAAUGAAUCAAAACUUUCAACAACGGAUCUCUUGGUUCUGGCAUCGAUGAAGAACGCAGCGAAAUGCGAUAAGUAAUGUGAAUUGCAGAAUUCAGUGAAUCAUCGAAUCUUUGAACGCACAUUGCGCCCGCCAGCAUUCUGGCGGGCAUGCCUGUUCGAGCGUCAUUUCAACCCUCGAGCUCGUCUUCAUUGACGGGAUCGGUGUUGGGACCCGGCGAGCGGGGACUUUUGUCCUCUGCCGGCCCCGAAAUUCAGUGGCGGCCCGUUGCGGCGACCUCUGCGUAGUAACUCAACCUCGCACCGGUAACAGCAUCGUGGCCACGCCGUAAAACCCCCGACUUUUAUAAGGUUGACCUCGAAUCAGGUAGGACUACCCGCUGAACUUAAGCAUAUCAAUAAGCGGAGGA